rnacentral:rRNA from 1 species
AGAGUUUGAUCAUGGCUCAGAUUGAACGCUGGCGGCAGGCCUAACACAUGCAAGUCGAGCGGAUGAUGGGAGCUUGCUCCUGGAUUCAGCGGCGGACGGGUGAGUAAUGCCUAGGAAUCUGCCUGGUAGUGGGGGACAACGUUUCGAAAGGAACGCUAAUACCGCAUACGUCCUACGGGAGAAAGCAGGGGACCUUCGGGCCUUGCGCUAUCAGAUGAGCCUAGGUCAGAUUAGCUUGUUGGUGAGGUAAUGGCUCACCAAGGCGACGAUCCGUAACUGGUCUGAGAGGAUGAUCAGUCACACUGGAACUGAGACACGGUCCAGACUCCUACGGGAGGCAGC